CCUACUGCUAAAAAGAGAAGACUAAUCUGUCUGUAGAACCAAUAGAAGGAAAAAAAUUCUCAACAAGUCCCAAUUUUUAGCUAACAGCAGCACUGUUUUUCAAAGUAGCUCAUCUUGAGAUAGACUACUGCAACGACGAGAGCAUCAGCCAUCACCGUGAGUAGCCAUUGGCUUCAUCUUCAUAAUUAGGGGGCAGCAGUGAGCUGAAGAGUUUCUUCUCGAGAGGCUCUGCUGAAUUGAAGAGUGAAAUGAGGAGACACAGAGAGCUUGCAUCCAAAGCAGAGUCCUGUCUCAGAGUGGAUGAUGCUGGCCAGAGUUGUUUGCAAGGUAUUGUCUGGCAGCUCCUCUGAUUUGAUGAAAUCCAUAAUGGCCUUAUAAAAGUUACCGAGGGCAACUGGAAUAGCUACUCUCUCCUCUUCCUCGGAGAUGGCCGGUUGAUGAAUAUAGAACCCAAGCUGUCAGUUGUGAGGCGGAGAGACGUCUCGGAGGUUGCCUGUCAGUCAUUGGGGGAACGUGUCAGAAAGUGAAAAGGCAGCGUUAAGACGUCAGACACAUUUACAUUGAGCCCUGUCUGCUGGAGAAAGCCUCUCCCUCACCAGUGACCAAUGUUGAUUCUACAAUAACGGCCGCGACGCAGCGCUGCAAAAAUCUUUUUCUUUCAGCGAGCGAACCCCCUCGUCCUAUUAGACCUGAUGCUGUGUGAAAUCCACCCUCACCAUUUCCUCUAGCUACCUGGAAAAGUAAAGAAACAUGAAUAUGGGCUCCGAGGAGAGGCUACAAUAUUCACGUACGUGUACACACACUCAGGCACACACUUCAGUCUCCGGCUCUUUAUUUGUCUGUGCCUGGGAAGGCCGAGGCCUCUUGCAGCCCAAGCGACCUAAGCAACAGCUGGUGUGCACAGACACAUUUCCUAUUUCUGCCCAAGGUGGAUCAUAUAACUCUCACUUUAUCACCCUUGGAGGCCAUGUGAAGGACAAAAUGAGCACGCCCAUAAACAAAACUAAUGUUUUCAUACUGGCCCUCUGGAGGUGGUAGAAGGGGC
ensembl:lncRNA